AGAGUUUGAUCCUGGCUCAGAUUGAACGCUGGCGGAAUGCUUUACACAUGCAAGUCGAACGGCAGCACGGGUGCUUGCACCUGGUGGCGAGUGGCGAACGGGUGAGUAACACAUAGGAACAUGCCCAGUAAUGGGGGAUAACGCCGAGAAAUCGGUGCUAAUACCGCAUACGCCCUACGGGGGAAAGCGGGGGAUCUUCGGACCUCGCGUUAUUGGAUUGGCCUAUGUCUGAUUAGCUAGUUGGUGAGGUAAAGGCUCACCAAGGCGACGAUCAGUAGCUGGUCUGAGAGGAUGAUCAGCCACACUGGAACUGAGACACGGUCCAGACUCCUACGGGAGGCAGCAGUGGGGAAUAUUGGACAAUGGGCGAAAGCCUGAUCCAGCCAUGCCGCGUGUGUGAAGAAGGCCUUCGGGUUGUAAAGCACUUUAAGUUGGGAGGAAAAGCGGUACG
rnacentral:rRNA from 1 species